rnacentral:rRNA from 1 species
UACGAAGGGGGCUAGCGUUGCUCGGAAUUACUGGGCGUAAAGCGCACGUAGGCGGUCUUUUAAGUCGGGGGUGAAAGCCUGGAGCUCAACUCCAGAACUGCCUUUAAAACUGCAUCGCUUGAAUCCAGGAGAGGUGAGUGGAAUUCCGAGUGUAGAGGUGAAAUUCGUAGAUAUUCGGAAGAACACCAGUGGCGAAGGCGGCUCACUGGACUGGUAUUGACUGCUGAGGUACGAAAGCGUGGGGAGCA